rnacentral:lncRNA from 1 species
AUGAAACGGUCUUAAAUGUGCUGUAGUAAAAAAAAAAUCUUCGCACUAAUCAAUCAACACAUUUUGUAUGUCUAAAUAUAAUAGUAUUAUUUAAUUAAAUCAAUUUAAAAUAAUCUUUGUCUGAAAAUAAAAUAUGAUCCAGUUGACUGCGUUUCCCACUCCAGUCAGCAGACGGCGAUGUGCGUCUUUCAGGCGAUGCUGCUAGCGUGACGUAUAAUCUAGUGGACGGUUCUUCAUAAACAGCUAGUCAACCACCUCGGUAGCUUGCUAGCCAACAUAGCCGAAAGAUUCAAGCUAUUUAGACGCUUUCAGUGUAUAUUAGCUUCUGUGUUUUAGACACGCUUCUGUCUUAUUUACUUGUUAACCUAUUUAAUAUUACGUUAUUUUUUAUUAGUCAGCUAUAGUAGCUGGCUGGUUAAGUUAGCACUAGCCUAGUCGCUAAUGAUAGCUAGCUAGCUAACAUCCCCGAACAUGAGCUCCCUAAACUACUCCCCUCCUGUUAAAGAAGAGGAGGUCUGCUGGACGGAGAAAGAAGCUCUGGGGCUGAACAUUGUCGUGAAAGAGGAGACGGAAGAGGAGGAUGUCACAGUAAAACAAGAAGUAGAGGGUGAGGCUGUUACCGUGAAAGAAGAAGAGGAAGACUCGUUCAGAGUGAAAGAGGAGGAGGAUGUUACAGUAAAAGAAGAGGAGGAUGCAGUUUUUGGAGUGAAGAAGGAAGGAGAGAUUACUGUCACAUUGAAAGAUGAAGAGGUGGAAAUCAGAGAUCUGAGUAACACCAGAGAGAGACCAGACUCUCACUAUGACAGCAGGAAGUGUCCUUCAGGGGAACCAGACUCUGAGAGGGAUCCUAAAACUGCAUGAGAGAAUACACACAGGAGAAGAGCCUUACCACUGCUUCCAGUGUAGAAAGAGUUUUACCGUGUUAGCUACCCUGAAAAGGCAUGAGAGAAUACACACAGAAGAAAAGCCGGGCACUGAAGAUGUGGAUGUCGAUUUAAGGCAGCCCCCCGCACCUCUCUGAUUUGGAGUGGUUGGGUUAAAUGCAGACACAUUUCAGUUGAAUGCAUUCAGUUGUACAACUGACUAGGUAUCCCCCUUUCCCGUUCCCUUUUAUAGAGCUCUGCUCAGCCUAUAAACAUGAAAGUAAGGUUAGAUUUAAUGUUCUACAUUAUUAUUAUUAUUUGGGGCAGCCACCAAGUUAUGAAAAUUAUGGUAUGUUCUGAAAACUGACUUCAGGUUUUUGAGGAAUCUAGCCUCGCAGGAAGACAGUUUUAUUUUAUGGAGGUUUAAUUCCGUUCUCUUUUUAGUAUUUAACUAAAUACUCUGUCUUUGGUAGGAGAGGGACCAGACUUCUCACUGUUCCCACUGUGGAAUGAGUUCUAUUCAGUUAGGGAGCCAGAAGGAGCAUAAGAGGAAACACACGAUAAAAGUCUGACCACUGCUCUCUCUGUGUGUGGAAGGACAUUUUCCCAGUCAGAGAACCUGAAAUUACAUGAGAAAAUAGAAAGGCUGUAUUCUGACUAAUAUUUUUGACUGAGAAUUUGUGUUUUUGUUUAUGCCACAUGAAAACAUAUUGUUUAUGAUUAUACCGGUCUAUAUAAGGUCCCACAGUUGACAAUGCAUGUCAGAGCAAAUUUCAAGCCAUGAGGUCGAAGAAAUUGUCCAUAGAGCUCCGAGACAGGAUUGUGUUGAGGCACAGAUAGGGGAAGGGUACCAAAAAAUAUCUGCAGCAUUGAAGGUCCCCAAGAGCACAUUCUUAAAUGGAAGCAGUUUGGAACCACCAAGACUCUUCCUAGAGCUGGCCGCCCGGCCAAACUGAGCAGUAAGGGGAGAAGGACCCGAUGUUCACUCUGACAGAGUUCCUCUGUGGAGAUUGGAGAACCUUCCAGAAACACAAUCAUCUCAUGCAGCACUCAACCAAUCAGGCCUUUAUGGUUGACUGGCCAGACGGAGGCCACUCCUCAGUAAAAGGCACAUGACAGCCUGCUUGGAGUUUGACAAAAGGCACCUAAAGGACUCUCAGACCAUGAGAAACAAGAUUCUGUGGUCUGAUUAAACCAAGAUUGAACUCUUUGGCCUGACUGCCAAGCGGCUAGCCUGGCGUAAAGCAUGGUGGUGGUGGCGGCAGCAUCAUGCUGUGGAGAUGUUUUUCAGCUGCAGAGACUGGGAGACUAGUCGGGAUUGAGGGAAAGAUGAACAGAGUGCAGAGAGAUACUUGAUGAAAACCUGCUACAGAGAGCCCAGGACCUCAGACCGGGGCGAAGGUUCACCUACCAAAAGGACAAUGACCCAAAGCCACAGCCAAGACAGCUCAGGAGUGACUUCGGGACAAGUCUCUGAAUAUCCUUGAGUGGCCCAGCCAGAGCCCGGACUUGAACUAGAUCAAACGUCUCUGGAGAGACCUGAAAAUAGCUGUGUAGCAAAGCUCCCCAUCCAGCCUAACAGGGCUUGAGAGGAUCUGCAGAGAAUAAUUGGAGAAACUCCCCAAAUACAGGUGUGCCAAGCUUGUAGUGUCAUACCCAAGAAGGCUGGAGGCUGUAAUCGCUGCCAAAGGUGUUUCAACAAAGUACGUAGUAAAGAGUCUGAAUACUUACGUAAAUAUGAUUUUUCUGUUUAUUUUAAUAAAUUAGCAAAAAAAUAUAAGUGUUUUUGGUUUAUCAUUUUGGGGUAUUGUAGAUAGAGUUUUUGAAAAUCCAUUUUAGAAUAAGGUGGUGAUGUACAAAAAUGUGGAAAAAGUGAAGGGGUCUGAAUACUUUCCGAAUGCACUGUAUUGUUAAACCAAGUAGGAGCAGUAUAGACCUAGUCUGUUCAUUAUAUACAUCUACGUGAUGUAUUGUUACACCAUGUAGGAGCAGUAUAGACCUAGUCUAUUCAUUAUAUACAUCUACAUGAUGUUAUGGUUUACACAGUGGAGGCAUAUAGACCCAGUCUGUUCAUUAUAUACAGUGCCUUGCGAAAGUUUUCGGCCCCCUUGAACUUUGCG